rnacentral:rRNA from 1 species
GAUGAACGCUAGCGGCAGGCCUAAUACAUGCAAGCUGAACGGUAAAUGUUGUAGCAAUACAAUAUGAGAGUAGCGUAAGGGUGCGUAACACGUAUGCAAUCUACCCGCAACAGGAGGAUAGCUCCCCGAAAGGGGAAUUAAUACUCCAUAAGAUCACGAGAGGGCAUCUGAUUGUGAUUAAACUCCAAGGGGUUGCGGAUGAGCAUGCGUCUGAUUAGUUAGUUGGUGAGGUAAUGGCUCACCAAGACGAUGAUCAGUAGGGGAACUGAGAGGUUGAUCCCCCACACUGGCACUGAGAUACGGGCCAGACUCCUACGGGAGGCAGCAGUAGGGAAUAUUGGUCAAUGGGUGAGAGCCUGAACCAGCCAUGCCGCGUGCAGGAAGAAAGCCUUCUGGGUUGUAAACUGCUUUUGCCAAGGGAUAAAAUACCCGUGCGCGGGGAAUUGAAGGUACUUGGUGAAUAAGCCACGGCUAACUACGUGCCAGCCGCCGCAGUAA